CGACUUCAAAAUAUAAAAUCUUGAUCUUUCUGUUGUUGUUACUCCUACUUUUUAAGAAGCAACAAAAAAAUGGAAUUCUCCAUUUUCUCUCAAAGCUCCAAAGACUUCUGAAAACUACUUCUGAUUUUGAGUGGCAGAGGAGUAAAAAGACCCCUAAACAUGAGGAGAAAGAAGAAUCCGUAGGGCUCUGCUGUCCACGUGGGAUGAGAUUUCAAAAGCACCAUUCUUGUUCAAUCUCCCUCAGAGUCACACAGCCCCAAAGUGCUCAGUAUGAUUCAGAGGCACUGAAAUCUCCCAAAGAAUAAAUAAUAAUAAUAAACCCCAGGUAUGUGGCGCUUUCCACGUUUUACAGCUGCUGUUUAAUCACGAAGUUUUCCCUUAAAGCCGAGCCCACAGUGAAUUCUCUCCCCGACUCGAUCUCAGCGCCAAUUCCGUCUCUGGCCAGUAGAUGGCACCAUGCAUUCAUUGUACAGGAUGGAGGCCAGAAAGAAGUGAAAUUUCAUCCCAUCAAAAGAGCAUACACCCAAUCUGACACACAAAGGUCAGGAAUUAAAUUCGGAGGGUGCACCUUUCUCCUCGUGUCACCCUUCCAAAAAAAUAAAGGCCGUGGAGCAUGCUGUGCUAUACACUGAGACGCUAUCAGCAGCUGCACCUAACGCGUCCCCAGCUCGCCCUGUCACUGACCUACAUUGCCUUGUGACUUCUUGUGAGAUUAAAACCAAAAAGAUAACCUUUUCUCCAUCCUCCCCAGCUCUGAACAGCGGCACCACCAGAGCAGGUCUCCCCUCCGCUGGAAGAAGUCAGGAACGACCACCUGUGAGUGCAGAGGCCAGGAGGCAGGGCUGGAGAUACGGCCCCACCGGUUGACCUCACCUGGGGCUUCUGCUCCAUGGACAAAGCCCCAUUAGCUCUGAUAGUGCAGCAUUCCGUGAGCUAACCACAGCUUGUUGGCAAGCUGACUACAAAGAGAUGGAGGAAAGUUUACAAGCCACUUUCUGCUGUGCAAACUGCGACACUUCUACCUGGAAUUGUAGAGGCAGCCCCUACCACGUUGUUCAGCAGUGCCCUUGAACUCCAAGGAGCGCGACAUGAGGCCAGCCAUUGCCACAGCAGCAUCUGCCUGCCAGGAGGCAAGCUGUGCUCAGAGGAGCAGCUCGGCCCACCUGGCUGUCCCCCUUUGCUCCUGGCCCAGCCAAGCUCACCCUAACCAGAGCCACGGGACAACUGGUUUGGCAGCAGCACUUGCCUGGCACCUCCUUGUGCCCACCCUGCUGCUGUAGGGCUGUCCUGGCAGGUGCUCAGCAUAGAGAAGUGUGCACAGAAGCACGCAAGAGACACGCAAGGUGUGCUCAGCCCCAUCAAAAAUCUACUGCCUCGAAUGUGGGCUUUCUGUGCCCAUACGUAUGAAUGGUGAGUGUGAAAAUCCUGUCCACUUAAGAAGAAUAAUUCAGACAACAGUAUCAACCAUGGCACAGAGCGACAUUUGAAGACAGAGAGCAAAGUCGCACAGGGAGGAAAAGAGAAGCCUAUCUCACACAGCAUGGAGCCACCCUGUCUCAGGCCAUGGAGAAGGUGCCAUGCAUCUGUCCCCUCAGGGCUCACAAGCCUUUUCUCUACCUGGCCAACCCUCGCUGCUUUCCCAGACUACCCAGCAGACACAGCUCAGGAAUUACCAGCACCAUUAGCAGUGACACCAUUGAUUGAGCAUGAGCAAUACCAGCUUGGAUUUUGCCACCAGUCAGUGCUCAGUAAUGGCACAGCACAAAGGCCCCGCUUGUAGGGUGAGAAGGGCUGUCUGUUGCCUGUCCCUGGAGCAAGGCGUGAGUGGGCUUGACUGAGAUGGCAGCAACUGCACCGUCACAAGCCAUAGUCUUAGGAAAAAGGCAGAACAGUGGAGAUUAAAUGACAGCACUGAAUCAAAGAAUGACUCUCCCCAGAGGCUGGGACAGUCCAGGCUUCCCUGCAACACCUGCUAGAGGCACGCAGGAAGGCCUGGAGCAGUCCCUGGGGAGCUCUGGCAGCCACAGGCCGAGGGGCAGCCUUCAGACACAGCUGCAGGACAGCAGGGCCCACAGCCAGGCAUUGGGCUGCACGUCCGCUUCUCGGCCUGCUGUUAUGGGCUGAAAAACAACCAUGUGCCCUAUGGCUGCUUAGGACACAGCCACCCUUUCCUCUGGCUGCUUCUCCAGCUUACACAGACUAGUAAAAUAAUUUUUUGCAUGAGAAGGAGGCAUGAGAGACAUGAUUUUCACCUGAGAGACGUGGCCUCAGCUGCAGCCUAAGCACCUGCAUAGCCAUGUUUUCCACAGGCAGGGACAGAGCCGAGCCAGGGAAGGCUGAGCAGUGCCUCAGGCCACACAGCGAAGUUAUGAAACAAAAACAAUGACCUGCUUGAAAAUCAGUCUGAAAUACAGCAACCUGCAACUUCUGCUCAGCUCAAACAAACAAAAACAAGGGUUAGCAUUAUACAAUGCAGUGGCAGGGAGGAAGUGGCCAGCAACAAUAUCAACCAAUUUAUGCAGUCAUUCACAUUUGUUAUCAAUACUAGAUUGCUUCCCUGUAGGCUUUCUUCCUCAUCAGGCACCUAUUUCAAUUAUAUUACAAUUUCCUCUCAGCUUCAAGUUGGACAAAAGCUUUUCAAAGCUAGCUGUUUAAAAGUGGAAAACUAUUCUCUUCAGCACGGUUUAGGGAAAAUAAUGCUACUUGUGCUACAGCGUAUUAGCAAUAUACCACUAGGAACUGCACUUAGCAAGAAAAGCUAGUGACCAAAAUACAUCCUUGGGACGCCCAGAGCAUGUGGCUCCUUGUGGCUGCUGCUUCCAAAAGGGAAGCACAGGGCAGCCAGCACCCUGCUGCCACCCCUGCCUCCACCAUGCCCCUUCCACAGCAGAAGGCCUGUAGCAUCACUCUCUGGUUCUCAGAACUGCUGAUAUUCCUGAUUUUACGUGCACCUGCAGCUGGCUAUUAUUUAGACAGCUUUUGUAUUAUUACAGGGUAGCCAUGACUGACCUCACCGUAAGCACUGCUGAGCAGCUGAGAAAUUCACUGGACAAACAUAAACACACUAUGCAUGGUUUUCGAGCAGUAUUUCACUGGAAGAAAACAAGGCCAAGCUAAUCAGGUCUUUAUUGCAAUUUAGUGAUUAUCUCUAAAGAUCAAUAACACAGCUCUUCUACCAAACCCACACCUCUCCCCUUCACUCACCAUUUGAAAUUACAUUGCUUCACAGGACUCCACGAGGCACAAUGGGGAAAGAAGCCAGCUGGCAGCAGACCCAAACGUGAGUGCAUCCCACUAUUCACAGAAGAUGGGAACAAAUGUGCAUGCAUCCACUGUACAAUAGAAAUAAUCUUCAAAGUUUGGCCGGGCUGUAGCACAGCCAGAGGUUGGAAUGACACUCACAUGACUGUAGGACUUACAGCACAGGUGAGCCCCAAGAGCCUGAUGAAUUCAACCUCAGAGGAAAAGAUGUUUUCAAUCUGUGUAACUACAGAGUUGCAGAUAAUCUUCAGGCUAACAGAAUUCCGCAAUUCCUUGCACAAAAGCAUCAAACUCUUUAGAUUUAACCUUGAGCUAAUGUCAGUACUAACCCAGACAACGUGCAGCUGCGUAACAACAAUUUAAAUUCAAAACUCAGAAGCAAAGAAUGUUAUACUGACACAGUGCACGUUAUCAAGUAUUCCAUGUUAGAUGUCUCACAGACUGUUACUAGAUUUGUGUUGCUUUUUUUUUUUUUUCCCCUCCUCAGCUGAGAUUUUCUGUUUUUGGUAAUAUUUCACUAACAGGAAGGUUGAGGACUGUAUGCCAAUAUAGGCACUUGCACCAUAUUUCUUUAAAUAUGUUCCAGGAAAUGCCAUACUCAUGAACUGCUCUGUAAUGUAAUCCUUCAGACUGGAGCAAUUUAUAAGAUCUCCAGAACAAAAAAAGCUUUUUUCAGCAGGUACAGUUAAUCAGGAAGCGAGUACAUGCCACAUUAGCAUCCCCUAAGGGUUUCUCAUGCUCAGUGAGAGUACGGCCAGUUUGUUGUUUUGCUCAGAAAGCUGUCACAGGACAGACGUCCUCAUUAGAGCUCUAUUUUCACAUUCUCCGGAGUUCGGAGCAGAAGCUUUGCCAUCUCCCCUCCGAGACCUUUAUUGGUUGUACCCCAGGACAGGCUCGAAGGAAAACACUCGGCCCUACAGUCCAAAAAGUUCACAGUGUAAGAAGCAAUUCACACUAAGGACAAACCGUGAAAUGAAUUCUUAAAAGUGUUUUAUUAUCAUUUUCUAUUCAAGCCUCGUGCAGCAGGUAGACAUCUUUCUUUGACAUACAGCUCCUUGUGCCACCAUCAGUGUUAGAGCUCCAGGGACACAACUGCAAAUUGGUUUCCAAGUUUAUUUUAAGAACGGUUUAAUAAUUGGAGGAGGAAAUACAAUCUUCAAAAUAGCUAAAUUUCUCAACGUUAAAGGUGAUGCAGCAAGACCGGCUCUAAUAGCACAGAAAGGAGAACAAAAUACCCUCGUGCAGAGAAGCUGCACACGGUCCAGCACCCACUGAAGUCACAGCUUUUUUCAUGCUGACUUCAUUAGCGGAUGAGGCCUCAGGGGAGCCAGAACAGCGAGAGGCUGAGGCUGGUCUCCUCUCCCAGCACACUGCACCCAGCACCACACGCUGCAGCAGGUAGCACACAAGGUCAACAGCACCCUUGCUGCAGCUCAUAACACCCAGCACUCCAUGAUAAACUUGGGCUGCCUGAAGCUCCAGCUAAUUGCCCAUCAGGGUGUAUUGACCCAGCACCAUGGGUAUAUAGACAGCAUUAAGCUCCCAAAAAGCAGCAGCGAAAGGAUGCGUUUGUCCUAAAUUUUGCACUUCCUUCUUUCUGCUGGAGCAGACUAAUUCUGGAGCAGGAUGACGAGUUACAUCAGGUUGGCACAGAAGGCAAUAGCCUCUCUGAACACAGACGGAGAUGCCUGCCAGGUGUCAGCAGAAUGCCACCAAAAGAGCAGAGCUGCUCCACCAGGGCCGCACCAGUGCCAUGCGGCUACAUGCUGUGGACAAGUGGAGCCUGUACAGACAUUCAGAUACAGUUCAUCUCAAACUGCUUCUAACUCCAACGAUAAGAGAAUAUAAAUACACUCACAAUAUACAUAAGCGAACCUAAUUUGUUUACAGUUAGCAGAGAAAGGUUUCUUAGUGUUUUUAUUAAGCUAUUCUUUUUUUAAAACAGUAUGAUUACUCAUUGCUCACUUGCAGCACUAAAAGGAAUUUGUAGAUUUUUUCUCAUAGAAGGAAAAUAUUAUCAGGUGACAAUAGAGCAAAACUGCACUGACAAGAAUGGAACAACCUGAGAUUACUUGAGCAAACGACCCAGCCUGCAGGGUCUUCUAUGCUUUCAGACUGAAAUUGAGGCAUAUUGUAUGCAUCUUCUUGGCCCAAUUCAUUUAACACUACACCCAACCAUGCCCAACGCAGCAUGUAUGAGACUGAACCAUGCGAUGCUCUGAGUGUCUACGCAUCCUACAGUACCACAAAUCCAAAUUUACAUGUCAUUGGCACAGGAAGCAAGCCAGUGCUCCGAGACGUGUGUGAUUACAGGGAACCUAUACCACUCUGCUUGUCUAUGGCCUAUAGGAUAGACUUAAUCAUGUGCUCAUAUGGCUGUAACUGAACAUUAAGCCUCUGCAGCCAUACUGAUGCAACUCCCUACCACUGAAAUAUGUGCAGACCGGUUUAAUUAGCUUUGAAUGCAAAAUAAUUAUUACGCUGGCAUAAUCAUAAAAGGACAUAAUUAUUUGUGAACAACUUGUAAGAAGUUGAAGACUUUUCUGUAGAUGCUAAUAACGUAUCAUUAGCUAUUUUUUUCCCCUCUGCUUCUCUGUUAGUAGGCUGUGGGCUAACAAAUGGAACACACACAAAACAACCAGCAUCUGGUUUUCACAUGUUGAGUGACACCAGUUAAGUCACCUCUUGUCUCCUUUGUGGCUGUUGGUAACACCAAGGUUUUUUUCUAGCAAGAUAGGAGAAAUGCCAGUUUCCUAGUCAGUGUCUCAUUUCCCCACCUCUGAUACUUUUCCUCUUUAAUGCGGACUAAAAUAAAACAUCUCUUGCUCCAGUGUUAUACCCUGCCACGCACCCCACACAAACAGGUCUUCUUUUGCUCAGCACAUCUGAUCCUGACACUUGCAAUAGGUUUGCAUAUUUAGAAAUAACUAGCAAAAAUGAGCUCUUUUCUGUGUGAAUCUAACCAAUGUAAUUCUCCAGAGACAGGUGAGAAAGAAUGAAGACACAUUUGAAUGAACUUCCUCUGAAGCCCCAGAGGAAGAUUCCUCUUUUGUCACAACACGUUACAAUGCUGCAGAGAUGCACUAUGGUGGCAGGACGUCUCAGAUGUCCUCAGAUCAGCAUCUCAUCCUGCUAGUCCUGAACUUUUUAUUUUGGAAGGAGAAGUUCUGCAAGCAAAAGAAUCAGGGAGCUGCCUUUGUGCCAUCAGGAGAGCAACCAAUGACCCAGUUCUGCAAAGGAAGCUUCUCAGCAGAGCUGGGACGACUGAGCUGAUUCAGUCUCAGCCUGCCCUGCCGGUUCUCAGUACACGUGCUCUGACUCUUUACUAGUUAGCUAUGCACACACCCCUUCCCAUCGUUUUUUUUUCUUGUGACUAUUUUGUUUAAGGUUGUCAUCUUCUUAAUACCUUCAUAUUUCAAGGCAAUAAUAAAUCAAAAUUAAUAAAAUCUCUCAGAAUAAAAGUCUGCCUUCAAGACCGUAUUCCUCACUUUGUUUUCUGCUUUCCUUUAUCUCUACUGCAACACAAGGAGGAACAAGCAAGAGAAAGAGAUGGUUUACACAGCGACGGCACAGGAAAACAAAUCCACCAGUCUCUGAAGUACUGCUCUUGUCCUCGUUCACAGAAUUAAACUCUAUUCUUAUGGAUCUGCUAAACUCCUGCCUAGUUAAACAGAACGUGGAUUUAAGCAACUACAGCAAUCACACUCCUGCCAGCAAGUUUAAAUUUAAAGAUCAAAAAGCACGCAGUGUUGAGAGAAAUAAUCUUCUCCAAGUCUAAGGAACUUUCUACAAAAGAAUUUAGUUAUUUUAAA
ensembl:lncRNA